CCGCCUCCACGCCGCCCGACCGGAGCCCGGUGUCCCACGUCGACCCAGCUGCCGACUUCCUGCUGCGGCGCCCCGCCACCCCCUCGCGAUGCACGCAGUGGACGCGCCCGGCCGCUGACUCAGGGUGAGUCUGCAAGUCGCGGAGCAGAGUCGCGAGUGACGCACAGAGCGGUGACUCAGGCCCUGAGAGGCAAGGACGCGCGCGGGCGGUUGGACCUGCCCAGCAAGGAUGAGUUGGCUCUGAGUGGGAGCUGGGAACAGUGGCCCCCACAGGGUAAAGCCGGAGUGUGAUGACUUACACUUCAGAGCCACCCUGUUAGCUGGGAACGAUGUCAAUCCCAUUUUACAGAGGAGGAGGCUGAGGCACAGAGAAGUUAUGUCACCCCCGCCCCUACACAUACAUCAGGUUUGGAGCUAAUGAGUGGGUGAGCUGAGGCCCAAAUCCGGACAGCUUUGCUCCACGGAUCGCUCUGGAUUCCACCGCGGGCUCCCCUGGGCUCAGGGACAAGAAUUAGCCACAGCGCCUUCUGGAUUGUGCUGAUUCUGUACGGUUCUGCCAUGAAGUUCCUCGUGUCUCCUAGCCUCAAAGUAUAUCCAGGAAGUAGAAGUAGGUGUGGUUGGUUACAGAAAGACCUCCCCAAAGUAGGUCCGCUGGGGGGGUGAGGGGGGAGCGAGGAAAAGAAACCAAAGUCAGGCCACCCGACUACACAGCAGGAGCUGUGGUGGGGUGUCAGCCCGGAACAGCUGCGCAUUCCUUCUCUGGUGGCUUGCACUUCCUCCCAGCGUGGCUCCUGGUGUCCAACAAUGAGUGUCCCUAGAGAGGCUGGGCCUAUUCCAAGUCAACCUGGAUGCGGUACAGGAUCGUCUCUGCAACAUUCUAUUCCAGAAGCUGAUACAAGCCUUCCCAAGCCCAAGGGAAGGAAGAGGACAGGAAGGUUCUGAAAGAACCUGGUGUGGUAACCUCUGUUAGGAGAUAGAGCUGCGGACGUGGGUCACCAGUGAGAAGAUAGACUCAGGGCGGGGUUCCCGCUGAGGACUCGGAAUAGCCAUCCUGAAUCACCCUGGGAACGGAGACCCUGCCCCCUGCUCUUCUCUGGGCAAGGGCGGCUGUAGCUGCUGAGCUUAGCCUUUCAUGGCUACCCUGCUCUUGAAUGGAGCGGGCGUCUUAGGGACCCAGAAGCAUACAGCUGUCUGCCUAGGCUGUCCUGAGAGGUGAUUAAGGGAUCACAAAGCAGGACAUCAAUAAAUUACACUCCUGCCCCAGCUGGCUGACUGGAGUACAGGUGUGAAGUGAAGUUCCCAGAAAAAAAAAAAACAUCCACAUUGAACAUUCUAGGCUGAUCAAAACUUAGUGAUUGUGGAGAGGUUGGAAUGUUGCAGGUCCAGAGCCAACUAUCUUACACUAUCUCUAACCGUCUGCCCAUAGCUGUUUAUUGCCCAUCCGCUGUGUGACCUAACUUCCUGUGACUAUGGUGUGAACCUGUUUAUGAAUACUGAUAGACAACUAGCUUCCACAAACCCACAAGUUCAGGAUGUCACAGACAGCAUCAGAGGUGGCAGUGGCACAUGCCUUUAAUUCCAGUAUUCGGGAGGCAGAGAGAGGCGAAUCUCUGUGAGUUCGAGGCCAGCCUGGUCUACAGAGCGAGAUCCAGUACAGGCACCAAAACUACACAGAGAAACCCUGUCUUGAAAAAAAACAACAACAGCAACAACAAAACAAAACAAAGAACCACCAAAACUGUUAUCAUGUUGGAACAUGGACUUUGGGGUGACCUAAGUGCUCCAGAAUAAACUCGUAUCCCCUUGGAGGUGA